UCAAGAAAACUGCCAGAGACAGCAGGUGCCGUAAGGCAUAAGGUGAAAACGCCUGCCGAGGAGUGAAGAAUUCUAUAGAUAUGAUUAUAGAGCCUCUCUGUCAGAUUCAGAGUGGCUUUUUUCAU
rnacentral:sRNA from 1 species